rnacentral:rRNA from 1 species
UACGUAGGUGGCAAGCGUUGUCCGGAUUUACUGGGUGUAAAGGGCGUGUAGCCGGGCUUACAAGUCAGAUGUGAAAUCCGGGGGCUCAACCCCCGAACUGCAUUUGAAACUGUAGGUCUUGAGUAUCGGAGAGGCAGGCGGAAUUCCUAGUGUAGCGGUGAAAUGCGUAGAUAUUAGGAGGGACACCAGUGGCGAAGGCGGCCUGCUGGACGACAACUGACGGUGAGGCGCGAAAGCGUGGGGAGCAAACAGG